rfam:Ailuropoda melanoleuca scaffold2088_52, whole genome shotgun sequence.
UUUUUAGUAUAAAUAUGUCUCGUGCAAUAUUUAGGACAUACUUAUACUAAAA